rnacentral:rRNA from 1 species
AGACUAGAAUGAAUGGAUUAAUGGGGCGUUACUUUCUUAAUUUAAAAAUUAAAAAUAAUUUUCUUGGUGAGGAAACUAAGAUGAAAAUGAGGGACGAGAAGACCCUAUUAAGCUUAAUAGAAAUAUUUUGUUGGGGAAACAAAAGAAUAAAUUUUCUUUUAAAAAAAAUUUUUUGAUAAAAUUUGAUUUUUUAUUUAAAAUAAAAGAAUAAGUUACUAUAGGGAUAACAGCAUAAUUUUUUUUAAAAGUUCUUAUUUACAAAAAAGAUUAUGACCUCGAUGUUGGAUUAAAAUAAUUAUAUGAUGAAGUUGUUGUAUAAAUUAGUCUGUUCGACUAUUAAAUUUUUAC